GACGAACGCUGGCGGCGUGCUUAACACAUGCAAGUCGAACGGAAAGGCCCUGCUUUUGUGGGGUUCUCGAGUGGCGAACGGGUGAGUAACACGUGAGUAACCUGCCCUUGACUUUGGGAUAACUUCAGGAAACUGGGGCUAAUACCGGAUAGGAGCUCCUGCUGCAUGGUGGGGGUUGGAAAUUUUCGGCGGUUGGGGAUGGACUCGCGGCUGAUCAGCUUGUUGGUGGGGUAGUGGCUUACCAAGGGUUUGACGGGUAGCCGGCCUGAGAGGGUGACCGGCCACAUUGGGACUGAGAUACGGCCCAGACUGCUACGGGAGGCAGCAGUGGGGAAUAUUGCACAGUGGGCGGGAGCGUGAUGCAGCAACGCCGCGUGCGGGAUGACGGCCUUCGGGUUGUAAACCGCUUUCGCCUGUGACGCAGCGUGAGUGACGGUAAUGGGUAAAGAAGCACCGGCUAACUACGUG
rnacentral:rRNA from 1 species